UACGUAGGGUGCGAGCGUUGUCCGGAAUUACUGGGCGUAAAGCGUGCGCAGGCGGCGCGUUAAGACAGGUGUGAAAGCCCCGAGCUUAACUUGGGAAUUGCGCUUGUGACUGGCGAGCUGGAGUGUGGCAGAGGGAGGUGGAAUUCCACGUGUAGCAGUGAAAUGCGUAGAGAUGUGGAGGAACACCGAUGGCGAAGGCAGCCUCCUGGGCCAGCACUGACGCUCAUGCACGAAAGCGUGGGGAGCAAACAGG
rnacentral:rRNA from 1 species